rnacentral:rRNA from 1 species
AUUGAACGCUGGCGGCAGGCCUAACACAUGCAAGUCGAACGGUAACAGGAAUCAGCUUGCUGAUUCGCUGACGAGUGGCGGACGGGUGAGUAAUGUCUGGGAAACUGCCUGAUGGAGGGGGAUAACUACUGGAAACGGUAGCUAAUACCGCAUAACGUCGCAAGACCAAGGAGGGGGACCUUCGGGCCUCUUGCCAUCGGAUGUGCCCAGAUGGGAUUAGCUAGUAGGUGGGGUACCGGCUAACCUAGGCGACGAUCCCUAGCUGGUCUGAGAGGAUGACCAGCCACACUGGAACUGGGACACGGUCCAGACUCCUACGGGAGGCAGCAGUGGGGAAUAUUGCACAAUGGGCGCAAGCCUGAUGCAGCCAUGCCGCGUGUAUGAAGAAGGCCUUCGGGUUGUAAAGUACUUUCAGCGAGGAGGAAGGUGUUGUGGUUAAUAACCACAGCAAUUGACGUUACUCGCAGAAGAAGCACCGGCUAACUCCGUGCCAGCCGCCGCAGUAA